UACUAGAGUAGCACUCGCAUAUCAAUAAGCGGAGGAAAAGAAACUAACAAGGAUUCCCCUAGUAACGGCGAGUGAAGCGGGAAGAGCUCAAAUUUGAAAUCUUAAAGGGUUUCCCUUUACGAAUUGUAGUUUAAAGAAGUGUUUUCUGUUGAGGUUUUGGUAAAAGUUCUUUGGAAUAGGACAUCAUAGAGGGUGAGAAUCCCGUAUUUGACCUUUACUUUCAACUUUGUGAUACACUUUCAAAGAGUCGGAUUGUUUGGGAAUGCAGUCCAAAAUGGGUGGUAAAUUUCAUCUAAAGCUAAAUAUUGGCGAGAGACCGAUAGCGAACAAGUACCGUGAGGGAAAGAUGAAAAGAACUUUGAAAAGAGAGUUAAACAGUACGUGAAAUUGUCAAAAGGGAAGCGUUUGACACCAGUGUUGUUUUUCUGAAAAUCAAUUAAAGAACUGUUUAUGCUAAGUUGUUUAGACUUUAUCAGCUAACUGUUUAGUUUUGAGCUUUUCUUUAAUGCACUUUUCAGUUAACAAGUCAACAUCAAUUUCUUUUGCUGUAAAAAAGCUUGAGGAAGGUGGCUUGAGAUUCGUCUUAAGUGUUUAUAGCCUCUUGCCUAUGCAGUCGGAGAGAUUGAGGUCUGCAGCGUAGAUCCUUCGGGGCUAAAUGCAUUUGUGCUAAGUUAUAGCAUUUUAUAGACAACUUGUUGACUAUGAUUUGUCUUGUAGCUUACUCGCUUAUGUUAUUUUACCUACGCUUAGGAUGUUGAACUACUGAGACAUAGA
rnacentral:rRNA from 1 species